CCGAAUUUCAGCAUGACGCUAUGGCCUCUCCAACCAUGUGGCCUCGAUUUAAUGUCAACUUCCCCUUUCAACUGUUCAAGGCCUUCGUUCAUGAGACCAAUGAUAAUCUAUUCGGGAACAGUUCGAACAUAGAGAAUACCUAUAGACAACUCACUCUAAGCCCCGUGUGAAUCACUUUGCUAGUUGAAAGAGACUGCUUUUCUAGUUCCGUCGACAACAGAUCCAGCUUGACUCCGUUCACUCGUUCAGAUGCUUACUAUCUGGUCUGGUCGAGCUCUCUUUGACCCUCAGGUUGAGCCAGCCUGAAAUGCAAGUAGUUUCGCUAAGUAGAUGAAACAGACUCCCCGUACGCGGAGGAAACGAGAUCAACAGAUUCAACUUCCCCUACUGAACCUUCGGCUACUACAAGAUCUUUAUAAACCAAAGAAGUUGAGCCUACUUUACGCACUUCCGCACUAAGCAGGCAAGGCUUUGCUUAGCGAAGGCAUGAGCUACUUGGCGAAGGUAAAUGAU
rnacentral:lncRNA from 1 species